UAAAAUAAAAGCUUCUUAAAAUAAAAUGUCUUAAUAAGACAAAUAAGUAAAAUAUGUAAAUAUCAUUCGUAAAGAAUGGACGAAUGAGAACUCUGCAAGAUUUGCACGAAUGCAAUAGUUUAACUAAUACUUUUUUCAGUGCUACAAGCAUAAUGUAUAUAUUU